AGGCUAAGAAGAUAUAUUCUAGGAAAAAUAUUUCUCCUAUUAAACUGAGAGAGGGCCAUGAAGCCAUGGUGAGACACCCUGUCAAACUUGUGUAGAAUUUCUGUGAGUCCCUGGGAUCCUGGUUCAGAAGGUAAAAAUUGUACAAGUACAAUUAACACUGAUGGAGAAAAAAUUAUUCAACACGUGGGGGAAAAAUAAAAUGUGAAUAGCU